rnacentral:misc_RNA from 1 species
UCAUAAAAGGAGAGUUCGUUACGUCUAUUUUCUCGAAAGUAUAUUGUUUCUGUAUGUAUUUCGUCUAACAAAGUGUUGAAUUUUAUUUUUAAUCAUUUGGGACAUUUCACAUGUAGGUAUUGUCGCUGUCAAGUGUCAUUUAAAUUUUACAAAAUGGAAAAGUAUUAUUUUGUUUUCCACAUACAGAGAAGUUGCAGAUUUGCAUAAAAAGUAAGAAGGAUCUUUUCGAGAAAGUGUAUUUUAUGAUGGUCAUCUAGGUUUUAUAUUUAGCUAAAUGAUAAGGUAAUUAUAUUUGUGUAGUAAAUAUUAUAAAAUUCCAUUCUUUUGAAUUAAAAAUAUGAGAUUUAUUAUUUCAUAAUGUUUAGUUCAUUACCAAGUGCUACCAAGAUAUAUGUUAAUGCGAAUAAAACACGGCAGAAACAUUCUUCCAGCACAAAGAAAAAACGAAAAAAUGUUGUAUGUACUAAUUUUGCUUCUGAAGUUGGUGCUGGGGUUGAUACUCUUAUAGCAUCUUCUAUUGAAAUGAAAGAAGACGAUGAUUUUUCAUCUGGAAAAGAUACUUCAAAAAUCGAUAGUCCUGACCGAAAAUUUCAAAAUUUCUCCAAUGACGUCGAAAAAGAACUUAGUUUUGAGAAGACUGAUAAAGAUAAAAUUUAUAUUGAAUCAAAUAAUGUUCAUUUUUUUAAUAGUAGUUCUGUACCUUUUGCUGAUAAUAUUGUUGAUAAAAUUGAGUGCGGAGAAGGUCAAAAUGCCAAUGAUGAAGAUAAAUAUGUAUCUGAUGAACUUGAUGUAGAGCAGCUAACUCAGGCUACUAAUGAGUUGCAUGAUUCUCAAUGCAUUAAUCAAGAUCAGUUAUUUGAUAUGAAUGUGGAUGAGAAAAAAAAUAUCAUUAGUAAUGAUUUAUGUAGUAGACCAGUUGAUAUGGUAUCUACAGAUCAGCAAGUGGAAGAUUGUAUACAAGAAUGUCAAAGUAGUAAUGUUUUUGAUAAUGAUGAUCCUAAGUGUCUAAUUUAUACUACUGAUUUAUCAAAAGACUCUACUGGUAAUGAAGAUUCUAGUCUUGAUGUUAAUCAGAAUGUUCCCGAGCUUGUUGUAGAAGCUGUUUUGCCUACUAUAUGUGAUGAAGAUGAGUCUGCUGUAUUAAACGAAGGUUUUCAUACUGUAGAUUUUGAUCUAAAAUCUCCAGAAACUGACACUUCCAUUCUUGUUGACUUUGAUAAUUCACAUUAUGAAAAAAGUGAUAUUACAUUAGAUGAUUCUUUGCUUUCUGUGCAGUUUAAUGAUCUGACAAAAAAUCUUUCAUCCGAUAGUGCUUCAGUGAGAAGUGAUUGCUGUUUAGCUACAAACAUUUAUGAUGAACGUACUGAGCUUAUUGAAUACGAAAAUACAUCUGAUCAAGAGGAGCACUGCAUUGGUGAUUCUUCUAUGUUACCACAAAUGCAGUCUCCUGAGCAAAGUGAAUUAAGCUGUACAGAAAGUGCACGAUCUGAAAAUAAAAAUGGUGAUACUGUUUCUGAGAGUUCUGUCUCAUCAGGAAAACCAGAUACAAGUACUUCAGCUACAACUGCUUCUUCUGUAGUGCAUGAACAUCAGAAAAAUGGUACAACUACUUCAAAAGAUAUUGAUCCACGUGUAUCCUCUGAUGGCAGUUUAUACUGCAAAAAUAUUUUACCGUUUUCUGAAAUAUUUUCCCACUCAUUGCCAAAUCUGAGUAUUGUAAAGGAAAGGGCUGUAAAAUUUCAGUGUAAGAGUUUAAGUCAUUUAAAGAAAGCUUCUAAUUUUUCAGACAAAUCAACAGUAACUACAGAUAUUCAAUAUUUCUGUGAAAAUAGUAGAAAGGAAUGCGAAUCUUGUCAAAGCAGUAAAAAAGAAUUUAAAUUUGCAAAUGAGGAAAGUGUUGAACAGAAAACAAAUUCUGUAGACUCGCUGCUAUCAGAAGGCAGAUCGUCAACUUUCAAAAGUGUUUCAUCAACUGUUACGAAACUUUUACCACCAGUUGCUAUGAUGCAGGCCAGAUCGAGGAUUUAACUGCUACAGUGCAAAGUCUGAAACCUGGACUCGUCAAACUUUGGUGGUUCUGGACUUGGGAUUUUUCUGGAUAUUAAAUCAUCAGUUUAAAUCUAAAGCUAUGUCUUUGGAAGUAUAGGACCUUCAGGUUCUCUACUUGGAAAUGAAGAGCUGUUACGUUUUUUUCCGGAUAAAAAAGUGUCCAUUUUUAUGGGAACAUGGAAUAUGAAUGGUCAUG